rnacentral:rRNA from 1 species
AACGUAGGUGGCGAGCGUUAUCCGGAAUUACUGGGCGUAAAGCGCGCGUAGGCGGCUUUGCAAGUCGAGUGUGAAAUCCCCAGGCUUAACCUGGGAACUGCAUUCGAGACUGCAUGGCUAGAGUAUGGGAGAGGGAAGUGGAAUUUCAGGUGUAGCGGUGAAAUGCGUAGAUAUCUGAAGGAACAUCAGUGGCGAAAGCGACUUCCUGGACCAAUACUGACGCUCAUGUGCGAAAGCGUGGGGAGCAAACAGG